CUGGAAAGAGACAGGGAAAACGAAUCUGCAGAUGUGUUCAGAUACCCGCUGCUGAAGAAGGAGCAUGGAACGUGGGUGGAUGUUAAUAACCAAGCCAUGCAGCUGAGAAGCAAAGGGAAGCUGAGAAUGCAUCACUGUUUGUCACCUGCUGCCACUCUGGGAGAGCUGCAUGGAGCACCCAUGGGCCUCUCACCCAUUCCUCUUCAUUUUUCGGAAGAGUCAAUGCACAUGCAGGAAGCUGAGGUAUCUGCAUGGCAAGAUGGCUAGGCUGAGUUCUCAAAGGUUCUAGAAUGUUCUAGGCUUCUAACAGAUCUUUUCACUUCAGGUCUAAACUUCCUCCUCAUACAUUCUACACACAGAAGUCAGAACCAUCUUCUUACAUUUAAUUUAGGUUAUCCUUCCCUUCUUUUAAACUCUUCAAUUCCUUCUCACUGAAUACAGAUUAAAACAGAAAUUCCAUAAUACGGGGCCAGGCGAGGUGGCUCAUGCCU
rnacentral:lncRNA from 10 species